AGAACGAACGCUGGCGGCAGGCUUAACACAUGCAAGUCGAACGGUUGUAGCAAUACAGCAGUGGCGCACGGGUGAGUAACGCGUGGGAACAUACCUUAGAGUUCGGAAUAACAGCGGGAAACUGCUGCUAAUACCGGAUAUUCUCCUCGGAGGAAAGAUUUAUCGCUCUAAGAUUGGCCCGCGUCAGAUUAGCUAGUUGGUGGGGUAAUGGCCUACCAAGGCUCCGAUCUGUAGCUGGUCUGAGAGGACGACCAGCCACACUGGAACUGAGACACGGUCCAGACUCCUACGGGAGGCAGCAGUGGGGAAUAUUGGACAAUGGGCGAAAGCCUGAUCCAGCCAUGCCGCGUGAGUGAUGAAGGCCUUAGGGUUGUAAAGCUCUUUUGUCUAGGGAAGAUAAUGACGGUACCUGAAGAAUAAGCACCGGCUAACUUCGUGCCAGCAGCCGC
rnacentral:rRNA from 1 species